rnacentral:rRNA from 1 species
AUUGAACGCUGGCGGCAUGCCUUACACAUGCGAGUCGAACGGUAACGGGUCCUUCGGGAUGCCGACGAGUGGCGAACGGGUGAGUAAUAUAUCGGAACGUGCCCAGUAGUGGGGGAUAACUGCUCGAAAGAGCAGCUAAUACCGCAUACGACCUGAGGGUGAAAGGGGGGGAUCGCAAGACCUCUCGCUAUUGGAGCGGCCGAUAUCAGAUUAGCUAGUUGGUGGGGUAAAGGCCUACCAAGGCAACGAUCUGUAGUUGGUCUGAGAGGACGACCAGCCACACUGGGACUGAGACACGGCCCAGACUCCUACGGGAGGCAGCAGUGGGGAAUUUUGGACAAUGGGCGCAAGCCUGAUCCAGCAAUGCCGCGUGCAGGAAGAAGGCCUUCGGGUUGUAAACUGCUUUUGUCAGGGAAGAAAUCUUCUGGGCUAAUACCCCGGGAGGAUGACGGUACCUGAAGAAUAAGCACCGGCUAACUACGUGCCAGCAGCCGCGGUAACAC